UUUACCUAAAGGCUACAAUCACCUGGGGCUGCCAAGCGGCCUAAGCAAGGAAGGAGUCGCUCAGGUUGCCUAAGCUAAGUGUAACCUCUACCAUCACAUUAAACAUACUCAAGACCUCCUCAUCAGUACAAGAGCUAAAAGAGUUCGUGUUCUUUCUCUCCCUUAGACCUGACCAUCAAGAUAAGCUUCUAGUUCUGAGUGGGGGGAAAGGAAACAAAGAAAAAAAGACAACCAAGGCUGGUGCACAAAGGAGCAAGUUACCGUGUCUAGUUCAGCUUCCAGACUGCAGUUUUUAAUCUGUGGCAAUAAUUCCACAUACUGGUUUGGAUCUGUUGUUAUGUUACUGUGCAUACCUGAAAACGAUUGACAGGAAAAAAGAAAAGGAUUUCUGCUUGUUCAGUCUUUUCACCAGUAUUUUCUACCACCAGACUGAAGGUGGCAUGUUAGGAUUGACCCGUGAGUACAGAUCAGAGUACUUGCAUCUCUAUCUACUUCAACUGAGCCUGCAAUCUGAUACUCAGAUUUGUGCCCACAACUGAAAGGUACGUUUACAAAUGGAGUCCAUAAGUUC